AAAAGUAAAUGUUAAUGGUUAAUGGUUAGUGUCAGUAGUUAAUGUGCCAUAAGGCAAAUUUAGCAUUAUGUUAUGCAAUCGUAAUUGGACUUAUGUAGAAGUCACAACUAUCUGAGGCCGGUCAAUAAUAAUAUAGGCAACAACACAAGUUAGAGGUCUUGAUUAGUGAAUCAAACUCCAACAACUUUCCAUGCCAAAAAGAAGAUGAGAACUGAUUUUGUAUUGAUUUAGGUGCUUUGCAUGAUUUAGGAAGCAAUCUAUCCUUAAUGCAAAGCCAUUCACGU
rnacentral:lncRNA from 1 species